rnacentral:rRNA from 1 species
GAUGAACGCUGGCGGCGUGCCUAAUACAUGCAAGUCGAGCGAAUGGAUUAAGAGCUUGCUCUUAUGAAGUUAGCGGCGGACGGGUGAGUAACACGUGGGUAACCUGCCCAUAAGACUGGGAUAACUCCGGGAAACCGGGGCUAAUACCGGAUAACAUUUUGAACCGCAUGGUUCGAAAUUGAAAGGCGGCUUCGGCUGUCACUUAUGGAUGGACCCGCGUCGCAUUAGCUAGUUGGUGAGGUAACGGCUCACCAAGGCAACGAUGCGUAGCCGACCUGAGAGGGUGAUCGGCCACACUGGGACUGAGACACGGCCCAGACUCCUACGGGAGGCAGCAGUAGGGAAUCUUCCGCAAUGGACGAAAGUCUGACGGAGCAACGCCGCGUGAGUGAUGAAGGCUUUCGGGUCGUAAAACUCUGUUGUUAGGGAAGAACAAGUGCUAGUUGAAUAAGCUGG